CACGUAGGGCGCAAGCGUUGUCCGGAAUCAUUGGGCGUAAAGCGCGCGUAGGCGGCCCGGUAAGUCCGUUGUGAAAGUCAAAGGCUCAACCUUUGAACGCCGAUGGAUACUGCCGGGCUAGAGUCCGGAAGAGGCGAGUGGAAUUCCUGGUGUAGCGGUGGAAUGCGCAGAUAUCAGGAGGAACACCAAUAGCGAAGGCAGCUCGCUGGGACGGUACUGACGCUGAGGCGCGAAAGCGUGGGGAGCGAACAGG
rnacentral:rRNA from 1 species